GAGUAGUUUGAGGCUUUCGUAGAGGUUGUGGGUAUUUCCAUGAGUAGUUUGAGGCUUUCGUAGAGGUUGUGGGUAUUUCCAUGAGUAGUUUGAGGCUUUCGUAGAGGUUGUGGGUAUUUCCAUGAGUAGUUUGAGGCUUUCGUAGAGGUUGUGGGUAUUUCCAUGAGUAGUUUGAGGCUUUCGUAGAGGUUGUGGGUAUUUCCAUGAGUAGUUUGAGGCUUUCGUAGAGGUUGUGGGUAUUUCCAUGAGUAGUUUGAGGCUUUCGUAGAGGUUGUGGGUAUUUCCAUGAGUAGUUUGAGGCUUUUGUAGAGGUUGUGAGUAUUUCCAUGAGUAGUUUGAGGCUUUCGUAGAGGUUGUGGGUAUAUCCAUGAGUAG